rnacentral:rRNA from 1 species
GCUAGCAGCCAUAUCACCCUGCAGCUCUCAACUGGCUACCCACUGAAACUAAGCAGGUUUGAACCUGGUCAGUGCCUAAAUGGGAGCCCUCCUGGGAAACUAUGGUUGCUGCUGGAA